rfam:Candidate division WOR-1 bacterium RIFOXYB2_FTLL_37_13 rifoxyb2_full_scaffold_261, whole genome shotgun sequence.
GGGCCCGUAGUGUAGUCCGGUUUAACACGCCUGCCUGUCACGCAGGAGACCGAGGGUUCAAAUCCCUUCGGGCCCG